CCUACGGGUGGCAGCAGUAGGGAAUAUUGCACAAUGGGGGAAACCCUGAUGCAGCGACGCCGCGUGAGCGAUGAAGUAUUUCGGUAUGUAAAGCUCUAUCAGCAGGGAAGAAAAUGACGGUACCUGACUAAGAAGCGCCGGCUAACUACGUGCCAGCAGCCGCGGUAAUACGUAGGGGGCAAGCGUGAUCCGGAUUUACUGGGUGUAAAGGGAGCGUAGACGGCGGUGCAAGCCAGAUGUGAAAGCCCCGGGCUCAACCCCGGGACUGCAUUUGGAACUGUGCUGCUAGAGUGUCGGAGAGGCAGGCGGAAUUCCUAGUGUAGCGGUGAAAUGCGUAGAUAUUAGGAGGAACACCAGUGGCGAAGGCGGGUCACUGGACUGUAACUGACGUUGAGGCUCGAAAGCGUGGGGAGCGAACAGGAUUAGAUACCCCAGUAGUC
rnacentral:rRNA from 1 species